rnacentral:tRNA from 1 species
GGAGCUUUAUUUUAUAUACGAAUAUGUGUUUUGCAUACACGAGGAGUUAGCCCCA